rnacentral:misc_RNA from 1 species
GUUCACAGAAUGUGGUUGAAGGUUUUAGUGACAGAUUAAAAUUCUGGCUCUUGGCCUUGAAUCUUCCUCUAAAAUUGAAGUCAACAAUCCCUAUGUCAAACUUUGGAUGGUAAUGCACAAGUAUGCAUUAGAGUGGAGAAUGGGGCCUUAAUUGGUUCUCAAUGUAUCACUCUGAAGGAAUGGAUUAUUAGAGAGAGGAAGAGCACGAGUAUGUAUUAGAGUGGAGAAUGGGGCCUCAAUUGGGUCUCAAAGUAUCACUCUAAAGGAAUGGAUUAUUA